rnacentral:rRNA from 1 species
GAGCGGACAGAAGGGAGCUUGCUCCCGGAUGUUAGCGGCGGACGGGUGAGUAACACGUGGGUAACCUGCCUGUAAGACUGGGAUAACUCCGGGAAACCGGAGCUAAUACCGGAUAGUUCCUUGAACCGCAUGGUUCAAGGAUGAAAGACGGUUUCGGCUGUCACUUACAGAUGGACCCGCGGCGCAUUAGCUAGUUGGUGAGGUAACGGCUCACCAAGGCGACGAUGCGUAGCCGACCUGAGAGGGUGAUCGGCCACACUGGGACUGAGACACGGCCCAGACUCCUACGGGAGGCAGCAGUAGGGAAUCUUCCGCAAUGGACGAAAGUCUGACGGAGCAACGCCGCGUGAGUGAUGAAGGUUUUCGGAUCGUAAAGCUCUGUUGUUAGGGAAGAACAAGUGCAAGAGUAACUGCUUGCACCUUGACGGUACCUAACCAGAAAGCCACGGCUAACUACGUGCCAGCAGCCGCGGUAAUACGUAGGUGGCAAGCGUUGUCCGGAAUUAUUGGGCGUAAAGGGCUCGCAGGCGGUUUCUUAAGUCUGAUGUGAAAGCCCCCGGCUCAACCGGGGAGGGUCAUUGGAAACUGGGAAACUUGAGUGCAGAAGAGGAGAGUGGAAUUCCACGUGUAGCGGUGAAAUGCGUAGAGAUGUGGAGGAACACCAGUGGCGAAGGCGACUCUCUGGUCUGUAACUGACGCUGAGGAGCGAAAGCGUG